rnacentral:rRNA from 1 species
ACGGAAGGCAGCAGUGGGGAAUAUUGGACAAUGGGGGAAACCCUGAUCCAGCGACGCCGCGUGAGUGAAGAAGUAUUUCGGUAUGUAAAGCUCUAUCAGCAGGGAAGAUAAUGACGGUACCUGACUAAGAAGCCCCGGCUAACUACGUGCCAGCAGCCGCGGUAAUACGUAGGGGGCAAGCGUUAUCCGGAUUUACUGGGUGUAAAGGGUGCGUAGGCGGCAUGGCAAGUCAGUCGUUAAAGACCAGAGCUUAACUCUGGACCAGCGAUUGAAACUGUCAAGCUAGAGUACAGGAGAGGUUAGUGGAAUUACUAGUGUAGAGGUGGAAUUCGUAGAUAUUAGUAAGAACACCAAUGGCGAAGGCAGCUAACUGGCCUGAAACUGACGCUGAGGCACGAAAGUGUGGGGAGCAAACAGGAUUAGAUACCCUGGUA